GGGGGUAUAGCUCAGUUGGGAGAGCACCACACUGGCAGUGUGGGGGUCAUGGGUUCAAGUCCCAUUAUCUCCACCA
rnacentral:tRNA from 1 species